GAAUAUAAACGACUGCAAGAAUACACCGUAAAUCUAUACAGAUGCCCCUUUGACUGCUCACCAAAGUCUUUUUUGUCCCGGCCGGUAGGUCUUUAAACGUUACACAGAACCCCGAACAACCCAAACUGUUAAUCUUCGAUACCACUUUGUACUUACAAUCUUGUAUCCACUGACUGUCUUGUUAGAUUAAUCCAAUAAAUUUCAUUCACUCCGCAUACUCAAUCCUAUAGACACCCUUUUAAUUCUUCAAUCUCAGACGUAACUCGAUUUCACAAAACAGUCAAGAGUAAUCAAACCCACUUCAUUAAAAAUCUCGAUUCACCAUUACAACACUGACUUCAGCAACGAUUGCCUCAGUCUUCCCAAAACCCUAUGAAGAAAAAAAAAAUCCAAUUCUUUGU
rnacentral:lncRNA from 1 species